rnacentral:rRNA from 1 species
UACGGGGGGGGCGAAGCGUUGUUCGGAAUUACUGGGCGUAAAGGGCUCGUAGGCGGCCAACUAAGUCAGACGUGAAAUCCCUCGGCUUAACCGGGGAACUGCGUCUGAUACUGGAUGGCUUGAAUCCGGGAGAGGGAUGUGGAAUUCCAGGUGUAGCGGUGAAAUGCGUAGAUAUCUGGAGGAACACCGGUGGCGAAGGCGGCAUCCUGGACCGGCAUUGACGCUGAGGAGCGAAAGCCAGGGGAGCAAACGGGGAUUAAGAAAC